rnacentral:tRNA from 1 species
GGGGACGUAGCGCAGUUGGGAGUGCGCAGCGUUCGCAACGCUGAGGUCGCGGGUUCGAAUCCCGUCGUCUCCA